UCAGUGCAACCAACGGCCUUAAUACAUAUAUGUAUAUAUAUAUAUAUAUAUAUAUAUAUGUGUGUAUAUAUAUAUAUAUACACAUAUAUGUAUUAAGGCCGUUUGGCCUGUAUUUG
rnacentral:miRNA from 1 species